rnacentral:rRNA from 1 species
GACGUAGGGUGCGAGCGUUAAUCGGAAUUACUGGGCGUAAAGCGUGCGCAGGCGGCUUUGCAAGACAGAUGUGAAAUCCCCGGGCUCAACCUGGGAACUGCAUUUGUGACUGCAUGGCUGGAGUGCGGCAGAGGGGGAUGGAAUUCCGCGUGUAGCAGUGAAAUGCGUAGAUAUGCGGAGGAACACCGAUGGCGAAGGCAAUCCCCUGGGCCUGCACUGACGCUCAUGCACGAAAGCGUGGGGAGCAAACAGG